CCGAGAAUGAUGCAGAUAUUAUUUUGAAUUAGAAAAUUGAGUACAAAAUUUUUAUGACAUAAGUGUAAAAUAACAUUAGAAGGUAAAAUUUUAAGUUCCUAAUGAAAAAAUCUAUUAAAAGAAUAAUUGAUUUUAAAAGACUGCAUUAAUCAAUCUUUAGAUUGACAUAUCUACUUUCCUAGCAGAGGUUAUUGGUUAGUAAACAUAACCUCUCAAUUUCAAUCCUUUUAUUUUCGCAUUAUGUACGAAGUCAAGGUUCUCUUUGAUGGAUACUCAGGAAUAAAAGAAGAUGGUUAUUAUGCAAAUUGUACUUGUACACUACUUAAAGGUCCACAAAACAUAAUUGUUGAUACACUAACACCUUGGGAUGGUGAAAAACUCAGAGCAGCACUCAAUCAACAUCAAUUAGAAUGUGAAGACAUACAGUAUGUAAUUUGCACCCAUGGACACUCAGACCACACUGGGUGUAAUUACCUUUUUCCUAAAGCCAAACUCAUUGUAGGGUACUGUAUUUCAUUCAAAGAUCGUUAUUUUGACCAUAAUUUCAAAGAUGGAGAAACAUACAAAAUAAAUGAGUUUGUAAAAGUUUUACCUACACCAGGACAUACCAUGGAAGAUGUCUCAUUACUAGUGGAAACUAAAAAUAAAGGCUGUAUAGCGAUUACAGGGGACUUAUUCGAAAGGGAAGAAGAUAUAAUCGAUGAAAGUAUAUGGCAAUCUGCAGGAAGUAUGGAUGUUAUAUUGCAAUCGAAGAAUAGAUAUAAAAUACUGGAGAUAGCAGAUUGGAUCAUUCCUGGUCAUGGACCAAUGUUCAAAGUUCUUGAAGAAUACAGAGUAAAAGAUUGUUAAAAGCUACUGAAAGAUCAAGAGAAAGUAUACAUUGAUGUUUUUGAUGAUUCAACUUUUUUCCAUGGCGAAUCCUAGAUAUUAGGUUAUGGUGACAAAGUACCAAAUACAAGUGAUAAUUCAGAAAGUUCAACGACAUUGGAGAAUAUGUGAUAAAAAAUUAUACAUUUUUUUGGUCAAUAGAAUUCCUAUGGAAUAUAUUUUACUUCUUUCUAGCAUCUAAAAUAUUUCUACCAACAUAUCCAACAUUUUUUGAAAACAUUGCAAAUGUACCUACACCACUGAAAGGAUACAAAAACACAGCGUGUGCCAGCACGCGAUGUAACACUAUACACAGCCCUCCCCUUCUAAAAAACUGAUUGUUAAAAGCCAACCCUAACCCUAUACUCACACCCCUUUCUUCCAUCUGCUGAAAGGGUAAAAAACUAUAAUUGAUCCGUGAUUUUUACGGAUACAAAGGGUUGAUACCAUAACAAUAUUAGAUUACAGUAAGGGUUGAAUAAUUUUUUCAUAUAACAACCUAUUUCAAUAAUAAUUAUAUGGAAAUUGUUGAAUGUAUUGGUUCAAAAUAUAAAUUUCAAGCUAAA